GCACUUGGGAAUUUUAGACCCAGGAUCUUCAAACCCAACCACCACACUGUAAGAACAACUACAGGGAUGUAGGUAGACAUUUCACAUCACAGCUUUGGUGGAGCUCCUAGUGAGCACUCGGAAUCAAUGGGGACGAGAGCAAGAAUGAUUCAACAUGCUUCCAGCACUGGCUAUGAAAGAAAGCUCGAGAGAGAUUGCCCAGCUAGAUGGACACCAGAAUCUGAGAAGCUGAUGCAACAUGACCAGCCCCCUCAGAUUCCUGCUGCUGCGGCUUCACUGCUAUAAUGGACUGUAACCUGGAACUGUGAGUUCACACCCAACUGUUCAUAUUGGGACCUUCCUGAACAAGGCAACCUGUAAACAACUGCACAGUGACCAUCCUGCUGCCACCUUCUACCUUCAGUUCUGAAAUUAAAAGGCUGUAAAAUGAAUAUCCAGAAAGGCACAGAAUCUAAGACACGGCUCCUUUCAAUUAAGGGUAGCCUGGGACUUUAAAAAAUGUGAUCCAUCAUAACACAGCCCAGGAAGAGCUGAGCGCUUUCUCCUCCUUGCCUCUGUCUGUGAGUGUGUGCAUACCGACGCUCCUGAUGAGGAAGGCUAAGAACUUGGAAGCCUGUUGGCUUAUGCAGUAGACCCAUCUGUGCGGGGCUUGUCUUUCUCAGUGACCUUGGAUCCUGAGAUGAUAAGGUCAAGUAAGGAAGAAAAACCAAAGUUCUCCAGG
rnacentral:lncRNA from 1 species